rnacentral:lncRNA from 1 species
CCCGGAUGAGGCGUACGAAAAACUCUAGGAGCCCCUAUCCUACAACCCUGAUUCUAGACCUCCAGACUUUCCUAUUAAGGGUCAUGUCCUCAUAAACCUGCAUUCUAGUCAUGUCCUGCCUAAUCACCCCUCCCCAAUACUUCUUAGGCAUCCCUCUGCCUCGCCGACCGCCAACAAUCUCCAGCCGCUCGCAGCUCCUCACUGGGGCAUCAGGACUUCUCCUCCGCACAUGCCCGAACCACCUCAGCCUCGCUUCUCGCAUCUUCUCAUCCACCGGGGUCACCCC